UGUGUGUGGUGAGGGUGUGUGUCUCAGAGAAGGAGGGAGUAUUCAGUGAGUAUGAGGGCAGAGCCAGCAGAGAGAGGGUGAAGAGCGGAUAGAGGAACGGGAGCGGAGAGAGGGAGGAGAGUAGACAGAGAGGGAACAAGGCAGUCGGCUGAUUCACCACCCCUCCAUCUAUCCAUCCUUUCUUUCUCUUUCUCCUCUUCUGCUUCAGUGACGGGGUAGUGGAGGUGUGUGUGGGAAAGGAAACCCUCCCUCCACACACAAACAGACCACUGCUCCUAAUCCCUUCCACCUGCCUCCAUCCCACUCCCUUCUCCCAUUGUCAUUACUACCUCCAGCUCUGUCUCAUUCCUUCUCACCCCAUCCCAUCAUCCCAUCUAUCUCUCUAUCGCUCUUUCUUUCUCUCCAGCCCCCACGCCCUUCUAACCCACACUCUCUGUGUCACCACCGUGGUGAAGAAAAUGAUCGCCGAACAAGCUGGAAAAGGUAGAGGAGAGGACAGAGAGAGGAGAAGGAGAGGAAGAGUGAACUCUGUCCAUUCAAAACAAUCCAGACUUUCCCGUUUCCCUGAUGGAUUAUCGCCGGCCCCACGGACAGAAGGAGGAGUGGAGGAGAAAAGAAAAAGACCAAUAGAGGAAGAGAGCAUACAAGCAUUGAGCUCUGGACAGCCAGUUCGCCUGAAGGUCUUGUCUGCAGGCUGUGCUUGGGACUCUGGCUAAUUGUGGAGUAUUCUCAGGACUCCAGCGGAGGAGAGAGAGAUGCUUUCUCUUUCUUUUCAUUCUAAUUAAUUGCCCUCUAUGCAAACACUCAAAGAGCCUUUCUCUUUGAGGGCGAUAAUUUCAUAUUCUGUUCAUAUCAGUAUUUUCCAUUUGUUUUUUCCACACAUACUGUACCUGUAGGCUGCCACUCAAAAAGAAAAAGAAAAAAACAUACAAAAACUCUGACAUCCCUAGGGGGUUUGGGAGUGGGUGUGCAGAGAAAUUAGAGAAUAAACGUGAGAGUGAGAGAUAAAACAUAAUAGUGUGGAGUCUACUAGAAAUAAGUAUUUCCCAGAGUGGUGUGAGGGAAGAAAGAAAGGAAAAUACUAUUUUCACCUCAGGUCUAACCAGUGCUGUGGAUAGACAGAGUAAGACAUCGGUCCCUGCUCAUCGGUCCCUGCUCAUACAACACCGAGACUGAGAAGAAUGCACAAGACUGAGGAGAGAACGGACGGACAAACACACAGACAAGUCAGCCCUCCGACCCCAAUCGCAUUCUGGUCCAUCUCUGUUAGGGUACAGCGCCCUAAACACACAUACACUUACUCACACACACACUCACUCAUACACACACUCACACACAGACACAAAAGAACCUUGGCUUCAUUUGGGACCCUUUUCUUUUCAGAAUUAUUUAUUUUAUAGCACCCAUUUUUCCCUCUCUCUGCCCCCUUCUCUCCCUGUCUCUCUCCCAUCUCUCCUCCAUCUCUCCAUAUAGACUCUGAGAACACCAUAUCUCCACUACAAAGACCUCUACACUUCCUGAUUCUUACAUUGAUUGGUCUUUCAGUUCCUCCCUUCUACAUAUCUCUACUUCUCUUCCUCUCCCUUUACCUCUUUUUCUCACCGUUCUUCUUUCUCUCCUUUUCUCUCUCUGUCUCUCUCCCUCUCUCACUCUCCUUUGCUUUCCUGCCCCCCUCGUCACACCUCACUCCCUCUCUCUUCUCCUACCGCUCCCUCACUUGCCCGGUCUCAUUGUCUUCACAAACAGCAGUGUUAGUGUGUGUGUGUACGGGGGAACCAAUCCAUUCUGCAGUGGAGCCACGGAGCACAGGGGAGCCUGAGGUACUACAUGUGUCUCAAUCAAACCAUGCCCCAGUUCACCUUUGCCUGUUUCUGUGGUCUGCACGGCUUCUGCCGGAGACGGAAAAAUAAUAAAAAUAAGAAAAGGGAGGAACAAGUGGAGAUGGAGGAGAAACAGAGGGAUCAGGAGACAGAGGUGUGAAGGAAGUCUGGAGGGACUUCACCCUCCUCUUCAUCUUCUCAUAGACUCUGUUUUGGUCAUAGUUGAAAAACGGUUGAAACCCCUUCCUGUGUACCUCAGUCCUUGGGAAUGAAGACAGGAUAUUUUCACCAAACACACUCAGUACCACUGAUUUUUACUCAAUUUAACUUAAAACUGUGGUCUGUAAUUUCUUAUAAUUUUUUUUUUACUCCAUGUAGGCCAGUACACUUACAAAGUCCUGCCAAAUUGAAUUACAGAUUGUGCCUUUUAGAUGGGGAGAUGGAACAGUAUGUAAUGAUGGCAUUCUUCUUUCUACGUUCAGAUCCUUUUCCAUUAUUCACACUGUGGUCCGUCUCUCCUCCACCUGAAGCAGCUGUCCAAUCAGCAGCUUCACUGGACAGUGUAGGUAGAGGUCAAAGGUUAAAACAAAUGUUAUUUACAAUCUCCUCCACCAAGGGGAUGUGCACACACACAUGUAAAUUAAAGAUAUGCAUGGGUCUGUAAAUGUGACUCACUGCCUCGAUUACAGUAGGUAUUAAGUAACAAAAUUAUAUAUAUAUAUAUAUUUUACAUUAGAUAAAAGUAGAGACUCAGAGGUAGAAAAUGGUAUAUCAUACACUGCAGUUGAGGAACAAUGGGAAAGUAAUGAUAUUUGAACUUGUGAACAAUGAACCAUAAUUCCCAACCCAUACAGUAAUAGCAAUACAAACUGAUUGUCAUAGCUAGCCACCAUGCAUGAAUCUGCAGGUAGGUAAAGCUAAUCAACUAUGUUCAAUGUUAGCUAGCUAGCUAACAUUGGCCUAUAACUAGCAAUGCAAAUGGAUUUCUGAUAUACUAAUAAUGUUCCUACACAGAUCAUACACGUAACGUUAGCUAGUGAGCCAACAAGCUAACGUUCGCUAGCCUCCUAACAGUUCGCUUUAACUUUCAAUGAAAACAACUUUCUGGCUAAAUUAGAAACUUAGAAUAUCGCUUCAUGGCAGACUGCUACCCCUUUAACCCCAUUUUGUUUGUAGUUACAGCUUGUUUGGCCUGCGUUGUGUCAAGUCACUCCAGUUCACACUGUAGGUAGUAGUAGUCCAUCUAAACUUUUUUCCACUGAUCUUUGUCUAUAGCGCCUGCUAAAAUUCAGGGCAGCAAUGUUGUUGAGAGCAGUCCAACAUUAUAUCUUUCAAAAAAGAUAGCCAGGAUUCACAUACGAAGCAGCUCAUGUUAUAAACAGAAGCAUGCUACAUGGCCAAUCGAUCUCAUCUCUCAGCAUGUCCAGCUUAUCCAUUAUCUAAGCCAAUCCGGUCUUUUUCCAUGGCUAAACCAACUAGGAUCCUAAUUUAACAAUUUUAUCCGUAUUUACCAAUUGCAUGCCGUUUGUGUUAUUAAGGCACAUAAAAGUUAUUAUGUUCCAGAAGGCAUUUAGAUUUUUUUUUAAAUGCCUAAUGCCUCUCCUGUGAAGUAGUGACGUGCGACAUACACCUAGCUUCUUGAAACGGUUUAUAAAUGCCACUGGUGGCGUUGGGACACCUGUCACCUGUCACCUGUCACCUGUCACCUGUCACCUGUUUAAUAUGGAAGUAGUGAAUGUGUUUGUGUGUGCAUUGAAACUUCAUUGCAACUGGAGCAUAGAGAGUUUCAGUACCUAGAUAUUCAUAUGCUGCAGAAUGGCCACACACACACACACACACACAUACACACACACACACACACACACACACACACACACACACACACACACACACACACACACACACACACACACACACACACACACCUUCUCAUUAGCCUGUGUAAUUAUGCAUGGCACAUCCAGUUGGCCAGUGGAGAUGUAAUUAACCUUUUCCUGCAGGAAACAGCAGUCUGGACGUCUGACACACACACACACACACAGACACACACACACACGUCUGGUGUCACGGAAAUAGAGUGUCAAAGACGACGUCUGGCAUUCAAUGAUAAUCCCCUCACGCAUAUUUACAUCCAAGGUUUAAACUAUUAAUGUCAGAUUACCUCUCCUCUCCCUUUAUCUUCCACCCUUUCUCUCUCUCCCUCUUCUCGUCCCCAGCCCCUUCUCUGACUUUCUUCCUCCUUCACUUUCCAUGUCUCUGUGUCUGUCUGUGUCUGGCUACACAAACCUCUUUCUCUCUUCCCUUCUGACUGUCUCUGUCUCCUUUUUCUCCUUUCUCAACCUCCUUGCCCACAUCCCUCUCUCUCCUGCUCCCUCGCCCUCUGUUCAUCUCUUUAUCUCUCAGUAAAACACGUUCUCUGGGCAGUGAGCAUGGCCUUGCCUGGCUGGCACUUCCACAGAUUGACACCAGCACUCGCUCAGGGAGCCCUCUCGCCAAGUCCACAAAAGCUGCUUUACAACAGAUGAAGGGAUAGUGUGAUUGUGUGUGUGUGUGUGUGUGUGUGUGUGUGUGUGUGUGUGAGUGUGUGUGUGUGUGUGUGUGUGUGUGUGUGUGUGUGUGUGUGUGUGUGUGUGUGUGUGUGUGUGUGCGUGUGCGUGUGUGCUUGCGUGUGUGAGUGCACCCACAUGCGCGUGAGUGUGUGUUUUUGUGUGUGUGGUGGUCAUGUGUGUGCAUGUGUGUGUAUACGUGUAGGUUUAUAAGAAAAGAUAAAGCGAUAGGGUUGAGUAUUUUCCUAUUCUACCAUUGAGAACAGUGAAAUAGGAUAAAGCUAAGCCAUUUCACAGAGAUGAGCAGCUAUUAUGAGCCACCAUGUUACAGAAAGGCUUUUUAACAAGAAAGGGAGAGAGAAAAUGAUAGGGAGAGGGGCAGAGAGAGAACAGUUAAUGAGAGAGGGAUGGAAAUGGAAGAGGGAGCUAAUACUCGGCACUCAUGCUAAUUGGCUACAGUUGCUAACUCUCUGAGGUGAGAGGAGGUUUAAAAAAGCACAGACUGAUCCCUGCAUUACACUCGUUUAAAGAAACGAUUCGCUUGAAUAAUGCAGAGGAGCUGAAAUGAAUAACAGGGUGUUAUUAGCAGUGGGAGGGCUGUUUUUCACCUGAGUGACUAUGUGUAGUCUUCUCAGCCAGGUCGCCCGUGAUACAAGUCAGUAUUCGACGUCCAUCCAUGUCUGAGGACGUCGGGAGAUGGCAUAGAAACUGGCACUAGGGGCAACAGUGAGCGCUGUUAUCUUCAAGUAGGUUUCGGUUUUGCUAGGACAUUGUGGAUGGGUGUAAGCAUCUGCCUCUGAUUCCAAAUUCAAAUCCAGUAAUAAAAAGUAGUUGAUAUUUUUGUAGUUGAUAUCUCCAGCCUUAACCCUUACUUUAACCAUUUGGAGUUAACGUCUAACCUUAAGAAUGUAGAGUUAAUGCCUGAAUUUAAUCCUAACCUUACAAAUGCUGAGUUAAUGCCUAAACUUAACCUUAAACAAUUUGACAUUUGAUGUUUGAGAAACAUUAAUGAACGUCUAAUUCUGACAUGAGACUGUGAGUGCUGAUACAGUUUUCUAUGGAUCAUAUCCAUACCAUGCAUAUGGAGCCUUAAUCAAAGACAAAUAGCUGAAAAUAAAUGGGAUUGACUAUAUAGCGACUCCCAGGCCUGGAAAUUUACUGAUUUUAGGGGCUAAGCCAUUUUUCCUUUAAGAGGUGCCCAAUCUGCCAGGGCAACAAGGUCAUCUGCUAGGGCACCAAUGCCAUUAACCAAAAUAGGCAAUUAAAUAGUGUAGGUGAUAGCCUAUGCAUAUUGGCUGCAGCCUGUCAAGUCUAGACAGAUGCUGACAUGAGGGAGUCGCAGGAAAAUGUAUGACUUUUAAUUACAUAUAUCGGCUAAACGCCAGUCAUGUUUGACAAAUAUAAUGUAGGAUCCUUAUUAAUAUGGAAAGGAUUGAUUCUGUCGACAUACUUGAGGCACUGUUCAUUCAGAUAGAAGAGAAUGGCCAGUUCCUGAUGCACACUGCAUCACCCACCUUGCAAUCUGAGUGGAGGUAGUCAACAUUUUGAAACUGUUGAACCAUAAACAGAAUUGUUUAAAACCUGGAAGUUUUUUGUCAUUUUAUGAGGCAUGUCUUACCAUGUCCCAACCAUAUGAAUGUUAAGGGGAUUAUUUUAUGAACAUUUCCCCAUAUGUCAUUGAAACAAGUAACAUUCACCUGGAACUUGGAACAUUCACCUUUAUAGCCCACUGCCCUGUGCGCAUUGCUGUGCUUAUAAUGUGAAGAAAUAGCCCAAUAGUUUAUCCUACUUUGGAGUUGCGGUGGUUGUGAGAAGGACCCGAUCAUGUGAAAGGCAUUGGCUAAUAAGAAUUAAGAUAUCUGAGCGAGCCAUAUGUGAGAGGUGCAUCGGAGCUGUGCUUCGGAGUACGGUGAUUGGCAGCUGGGAGAAGGGAAUUGUAAUUAGCCUAUUAUAUUCAGCCCAAGGGCACAACGGGCACUGUCCACAAGGCAUGGAUUUUUUUAGGGGGCAUUAUGGCCACACAAGUGGGCAUGGCCGUCAAUGCCCCCGGGAAAAUCCAGGCCUGGCGACUCCUAUGAAAGCAGGAGCAAAGGAAAAAGGGAGAGGGAGAGAAAAGGAGUGCUGUCAGAUUAGAUUUGGGUCAGAAAGGGAAUUGAAGAGCCAGUGGGGCAGAGGGUGUUACAUAUGGACGAUAUUCAUCUCUUUUCCUUUCUCACUCUCUCUUUGUCUCACUACCGCUUUCUAUCCCUCUGUCCCUCCCCCAUCUCUCUCGCUCUUGCUCUCUCUACUCAAUACCUCACUAUCUCACACCUGCAAUAUAGGGGGAGUGAAGGGGAAAAGAAGAUGAAAACCACCUUCUCCUCUCCUCAUCCCCCUCUCCCCUCUUUCCUAAUGAAGACUAAAAGUGAUCUUUCUACUCUAAUGCUCUAAUUGGGCAAUAAGAGAUGGGAACUGAUAGAGAUUGAUUGAGAUUGAUAGAGAUAUAGUUAUGAAGAAAAGAGGGACAGACAGAGAGUGAGGAUUAAGAUAUAGAGAGGCAUAGAGAGGCAGGAUUUGAGGUAGAAAGAAGAGCAGGAAAGGAAGUGAGAGAAAGUGAGGAGCUUUUAUGUGACUGAGAGACAGAUAGGGUGAUGGGAGAUGAGACGGGAUGAGUAAAGUUAGAGAGAUAUUUUGAGAGCAGGAGAGAGAGAGCAAUAGGUUAAGAGAGAUAGAGAGAGAUGGUGUAAUUGUGAUGGUAAUAGGGUUUGUCAGGAGCACCUGUCAGGGUCGAGCUGAAGCGGCUCCGGAGCGAGGGAGGUGAUGGAGGAGAGGAACGAAAUAGGGGAUUGGAGUCAGGAUCCCUCUGAGGAGAGUCCUAUAUCCAUGGCAGGAUUACCUGAUUGCCAAUUUGUGUCCGUCUCCAGACAUCACACACAUAAAACACACACUCGCAUUCACUGCAGGGGAAGGAUGGAGUUGAUUGGACAGGCUCUUGGUGCCUAACGAGGUGUCUAUGGCAAUCACAGACCAGCUGCUUUGUGAUUGGAGGAGGGCUUGUAUUCACAUAAUUUCUAGAUGAAAAGAGAGUGCUGCACUGAUUAUCUUCUAAAACCCAGCUUAGAAAAUCAAAGUGACCUUCAUGGGAGAGAUCUCAGAUAUUUCUGAGUACAGAGUAUGUUGGCUUAGGCAGAUUUAUGUAUUAAACAUACAGGUGUUAGUUAACCUGAGAAUGGUAUUAAAUGCCCACCCAGAUGCCUGGAGCGAGGCAGAGAGAAGAGACAGUGAGAGGGAAGGGCUGGGUAUGGAUCCUCAGAGAGAGACUGGUCCUCGGAUCAGAAAAUAUUGACAGGCUAUAACCCAAACACCCAGUUAUGUCUGACACUGUCUCACACACACACACGCACACGCACACACACACACACACACACACACACACACACACACACACACACACACACACACACACACACACACACACACACACACACACACACACACACACACACUGGAUAGCAGGUUGUUUGUAUGUGUAAAAAAGGAAGAGUUUGUGUGUGUUGUGGAGGGGUGUGUAGUGUGCAUGUGUGGGGUAGUGGGCUGUAUGCUUGGGAUGCGGAGCACGUCAGAGUUCUGUGGAGUUUUCUUUGCAGAAAAGCCUCAUUAAAGAGGUGUAGGCUCGUCUUAACACAGCUAUCUACAGCCAGACCAGACCACACACAGAGAGAGGGAGAGAGCGUGAGGGAGAUGCUGAGGGAGACACUGAGGAACACUUAAAGCACACACACAGACACAAAUAUGAAAUACGAUAUAAAGCAUCUUUCUCAGGUUGCUGUGGUAUCACACAACAUUUGAGUGUGAGUGAAUGGGUUUGUUCUCAUCAGGAUUUUACCUAUCUCUCCCUCCAGACUCUCUCAUCUUCUGGGUUUCUAUGAUCUUUCCUUUGUCCUUAAACUAUGUUCUCCUAUUCAUGUAUAUUUGAUUGUGUCAACUCCGCGGAGAUUGCCUAUGGUGUAUAUGUGUGCCUUUUAAAUCUGUGCUUAUGAAUAAAUAAUAGAUUCCUACGCACUCUGAUUAUUAAAGAAGCCAUAUUGCCAGGAACCCAUGAUGAAAUUAUAUUGUAAUUCAUGCCUCUCCGAUGAAUAAACAGAUAUUUUUCCUUCUUGCAAUUUC